UGGGCGACAGAGCGAGACUCCGUCUCAAAAAAAAAAAAAAAAAAAAAAAAGUAUGAAUGCAUAUUUCUCUCCUUCUCUUAACUGAUUUAAGAAACAAUUGUAUAAGAUUGCCGGGCGCUGCGAUGCGUGCCUGUAGUCCCAGCUACUCCGGAGGCUGAGGUGGGAGGAUCGUUUGAGCCCAGGAAUUCUGGGUUGUAGUGCGCUAUGCCUAUCCAGUGUCCGCACUAAUUUCGGCAUCAGUAUGGUGACCUCCCGGGAGCGGGGGACCACCAGGUUUCCUAAGGAGGGGAUGGGAAGAAUAUUGCUUAAGGAAUAAG